UGGGGAAUAUUGCACAAUGGGCGAAAGCCUGAUGCAGCAACGCCGCGUGAGUGAUGAAGGUCUUCGGAUUGUAAAGCUCUGUCUUUUGGGACGAUAAUGACGGUACCAAAGGAGGAAGCCACGGCUAACUACGUGCCAGCAGCCGCGGUAAUACGUAGGUGGCGAGCGUUGUCCGGAUUUACUGGGCGUAAAGGGUGCGUAGGCGGAUGUUUAAGUGAGAUGUGAAAUACCCGGGCUUAACUUGGGUGCUGCAUUUCAAACUGGAUAUCUAGAGUGCAGGAGAGGAGAAUGGAAUUCCUAGUGUAGCGGUGAAAUGCGUAGAGAUUAGGAAGAACACCAGUGGCGAAGGCGAUUCUCUGGACUGUAACUGACGCUGAGGCACGAAAGCGUGGGUAGCAAACAGGAUUAGAUACCCUGGUAGUCCACGCCGUAAACGAUGAGUACUAGGGUGUAGGAGGUAUCGACCCCUUCUGUGCCGCAGUAAACACAUUAAGUACUCCGCCUGGGAAGUACGAUCGCAAGAUUAAAACUCUAAAGUGAAUUGACGGGGUC
rnacentral:rRNA from 1 species